CUGAGGCUUUGACUGGCACCCUACACUUCUACCCACAUUCCUUUGACCAAAGGACAUCACACAGCCAGCUCAAAGACAAGGGGUGGCGAUAAAAACUCUGCCUUUACGAAGGAUCUCCAAAGUCACAUGACAAAAGAUGACUUCUUCUGGAAGAAAUGUUAUCUUCUUCUAAUAAACUUGCCAUUAUCUUCGGAGACAAAUUUCAGGAAAGAAAUAAAGAGUAUUGCAAUUACUGUCUUCCAGCUUACCCAUGACUCAGACAGAGAACAAUCAAUUCCUUAAAAAAGAAGCAAGAUUUGUGGGCCGCAAAAGAAGAUUUCUGGAAAAUAGGGCAUUUAGCCUUGUCAAGGAGAGAACAGGCUUGUUCUCAUCCCCAUGCAUAGGCUCCAUCCAGACCAUCUUGGGCCCUCUGAGCAAGCUCUGGGCUGGGAAUGAAGUCUAGCUGACAACAAUGGGUCAUGUUCAAUUACUCAGAUCUUUAGCCAGUGCCAAGGAAUUCGUGUAGCUGCUGACCUCAGGCUAUCUCCCUUUCCACACAAGAUGUGAAAACCCCCCACCAAAUGGAAGAUGUUAACUACUUGAUGACCAUGAGCACAUCGCCCCAGGCCUCCUGGAGCCUAAGGACUGAUAACGUGAACCCCUGUGACACCACCUGUAUCCUCACCAUCAGCCAGUCAGAGAACUGCUCACGAGCUGAUCACACACCCUGCGACCCCCUCUCACCUGGCUUUUAAAAAUGCUUUGACAAAACCCUUCUGGGAGCUUGGGGAGUUUUAGAGCAUGAGCAACCUGUCUCCUUGCACGGCCCUGCAAUAAACCUUUCUCUGCUCCAGACUCCGACGUUUCAGUUUGUUUGGCCUCGCUGUGCGUUGGCCACAUGGACUUGCGCUAACAUGAACUCCCAGACAAGGACAGAGGGAGUGAUGCAGAUGACCAAGUUUUGGGAGACUACCUAAUGAAAUUACUGGGAAAGAAUGAGUAAGAAAAUACGUGGUCUUCAGCAAAAGCAAUAGGAAAAUCCAAUAUUUAAAAGGUUAAUGAGGGAAGAGCAAACAGCAAGUGAGAAUGAGGACCAGUGUGAGAGGCAGAAGGGGAUCAGUGUGUAGACAGACGCUGAGAGAGGCCUUUCUAAAGGAAGGGGCUGCUCAACACUGUGAAACCUGCAAAACCAUCACAAGAUGAGAACUGAGGAAAGCCUAUUUGUUUGACAUGUUGGUGACCAACAACAGUUGCUAGGUAGAGGUAGGUGUAGAAAUGGGGUUACAGGAGACUGAAGAGGCUGUGAGAUGGGAGAAGGGGAGCGAGUGAGGACUUUUGACAGUGAAGGGUCACAGUUGAACCAAAGCUAGAAACGAUGAACCAGGAUCAUUUCUAUGUGUCGAACCAGUCUCUGUGCUGACCUCUGCUAAAUGCUGAUUUGGUCCUAUUGUCUAAGUCUGUCAAGAUCAAGAGAGAGGCUGGACUGUGGCAAAAAACGGAAUCAAAACCUCCCAGGGCAAUGAGUCCUGCCAGGUACUGUUACAAUGAAUUGUUUAAAAAGUAGAACAAGACAAUCGAAAGGUGUCUCCUGCUUUGUGUGAGCCAAAUUUCCUUUUGUUCCUUAUCACAGUGGGGAGGAAAAUAUAUUCAUGCCCUAAAUGCUCAAUUGUGUAAGCAGGGAUAUAAUUUGCAUAUACAGCCCAGGUAAUGCUAUGGGGAAAAUUGUACCUGAAGUCUUAAUGAGGAAAUUUAAGCAGAUGUGAUGGAAGAAUUAAAACUAAUGUUAGCCUUUGUAGCCACUCAAUUCCAAGCAUAGCAAUGUCUUCUUUAAUGCAUGUGAGGAGAAUUUGAUGACUAAUUAAAAGGAACAGGCAGCCUAGGUGUUGGGGUAGUGGUGAGGUCCUUGACUCUAUAAGAGCUGAUGAUAGGAGGAAAAGAGGACUUCUUUGCAUAAAUUACAUUUUAGAGAAAAUACUGGUUUUCCAAUUUAAUUUGACUUACAGUUUUGGAGUGCCUGUGAUGUCACAGGCACCAUACUCUCAGCACUGAGGGCAUAAAGAAGGAUGAGAUACAGUCUUUUUUCUAAAAUGGCUAGAUGUCUCUGCCCUAGAUGUGCAGUGCCUAGAGGUCCAGCGCCUAAUCAAGUCAAGUCUAACUUCUAAAAAAUAUUGGGAUAAACUAUAGUAAAAGUUUGUUUAAAAAAAUUGAAUCUGGACAACGAUCAUCAAUGGAUACCAUACCGAAAAGAGAGGUGACCAGAUAUUAUAUGCCUCCUUAUGAAAGUGCAAAAUACACAUAUGAAGUUUUUCUUGUCUAAAUAUCAAACUAGAAUCUGAUCAAGCCUCUAGAUGAAACUAUCAAUUUAUAGGGAACAGAGGAUCACAUUAAACGAUACCAUAGGGAUGCAAUUAGCAAAAUCUAGACUGUCAAAGUCUAAGGACAAGCAACAUGCUUUCUUCAACAGCCAACCUGCACUGAAAAAUGAGAGAGAGAGAGAGGUUUAGAAGGUAAAGAUUGAGAGAGUAUUGAAAGACAUAUCUACUAACUUACUAAUUGCAAAAUAUGGACCUUAUUUUGAUUCUAACUCAAAUUGUAAAAAGUAUGAGAUUAGGGGGAAUUUGAACACUUAAUGGAUAUUUAAUGUUAUUAAGAAGUAAUUAUUAACUUUUUAGUGGGAAUAAUGACAUUAUGUUUAUGUUUUAGAAAAGGAAUCAUUGUUUAAAAUGAUCACCUGCUGAAAUAGCUAAGGAUAAAAUAAUUUGAUGUCUAGGAUUUGUUUCAAAAUAAUCUAAAAGGAGGGGGGAAGUGGAUAGGGGCAUGUAAGAAACACAAUUGGCCAUGAGUCGAUAACUUUUUCAACUGGGUUAUGGGUACAAGGGGGUCCCUUUCAACUUUUAUUUGUUUAAAAUUUUCCAUAAUAAAAAGUUUUUAAAAGCUGACAAAAAUAGGUCUAGCAUCAUUCAAGAUGAUUAAGAAUUAAAUUUAGAUUUUUUCCCCCAAUCUGUGUACUAGUUAUAGAGCUACUGUGGCAGGUACAAGGCACUUUUGUUCACAUGGGAUGGGAAGGAUGACAAAUUUAGCUGCAUUUCCCAUGGCUUGAAUUGAGACAUCACUGGCAUCCUUUUAUCUGUUUUUCCUUUCAUCUUGAAGAUGUUACUUCAGAUGGUGAUGUGAGUUUUGGCAUUGAGUGGGCUGAGAGGAGUGUUACUGUGUGGCAAAACAAACUCAGAAACAGGGAGUAUGGGGAAAAGAAGGGGAUGCUCUGCCCUCACAUUACCCAAGUCUCUUCCCCCUCCCCCCAUUUUCCUGGGAGAACAUUAGAUUCUUUAAAUGCAGUGAGAAGGGAUACUCCAGUCACUUAAGCUUGGGCUGAAGAUAUUUAUAAAAUAGAAUUGAAAUCAUCCUCAUCAUCUUCAUCGUUAUCUCAUCAUUUAUUAAGUGAUUUCCCACAUGCUAGAAUGUGCUAAAUAUUUUACAGGCAGUCUAAUUUACC